rnacentral:rRNA from 1 species
UACGGAGGGAGCUAGCGUUGUUCGGAAUUACUGGGCGUAAAGCGCGCGUAGGCGGCUUUGUAAGUUAGAGGUGAAAGCCCGGAGCUCAACUCCGGAACUGCCUUUAAAACUGCAUCGCUUGAAUCCAGGAGAGGUGAGUGGAAUUCCGAGUGUGGAGGUGAAAUUCGUAGAUAUUCGGAAGAACACCAGUGGCGAAGGCGGCUCACUGGACUGGUAUUGACGCUGAGGUGCGAAAGCGUGGGGAGCAAACAGG